UAGACCUCAAAUCAGUCAGGACUACCCGCUGAACUUAAGCAUAUCAAUAACCGGAGGAAAAGAAACUAACAAGGAUUCCCCUAGUAACGGCGAGUGAAGUGGGAAAAGCUCAACUUUGAAAUCUGGCACCUUCGGUGUCCGAGUUGUAGUCUCAAGAAGUGUUUUCUGUGCUGGCCCAUGUAUGAGUCUGUUGGAACACAGCGUCAUAGAGGGUGACAACCCCGUUCAUGGCAUGGACCCCAGUACUUUGUGAUACACUUUCGAAGAGUCGAGUUGUUUGGGAAUGCAGCUCAAAUUGGGUGGUAAAUUCCAUCUAAAGCUAAAUAUUGGCGAGAGACCGAUAGCAAACAAGUACCGUGAGGGAAAGAUGAAAAGCACUUUGGAAAGAGAGUUAACAGUACGUGAAAUUGUUGAAAGGGAAACGAUUGAAGUCAGACGUGCGUGAUGCGGUUCAGCUCUGGUUCGCCAGAGUGUAUUCCGUAUCUUUGCAGGCCAACAUCGGUUUUGCGAGCCGGAUAAAGGUUAGAGAAAUGUGGCACCUCCGGGUGUGUUAUAGUCUCUGACUGAAUACGGUUUGUGAGACCGAGGAACGCAGCGCGCCGCAAGGCAAAGGUUCCGACCUUUUCGCGCUUAGGAUGUUGGUGAAAUGGCUUUAAACGACCCGUCUUGAAACACG
rnacentral:rRNA from 1 species